UUGGAUCUCUUUCUGUUUCAGGCGGUGUUGUGAAGAAUGGCCGACGGAAGCGGUCACAAAGCUCUCCAAGCUGAAAGAUGUGGAAUCACCUAAAGUACUAUUAUCCAUUCUGUGGUGAAUGUGGUGAAAAGGACAUGAUUCAAAUGAAUCCAUGAAGAAGUAGCAGGAUUCUUGUACUGGCUCGAUGAAAAAGAGGAGUCACUUAAACCUAAAAAGAAUUGGGCCACUUGUUCCAAGCACAUCCAGUAAAUAUAGAGGAGAUUGGUGCAUGGCUUGGAGCACAUGGUGAUAUAAGAAGCUGCAUCAGAUUUUUCUUGGAUUGCUACUCAGUGUGUAAAUCCUGCAGAAAGAUUCUCGACUGCCGUCUGAUGUUUGCAAGAGUAGUGUGAGACCCUGACUUGCUGGAAAAUGAUUUGAAUUCAGUAGUGUUGACACUCAAUAAAUACAUUAUUUGCACUAUGGCAAAA